UAGGGAAUAUUGGACAAUGGGUGCAAGCCUGAUCCAGCCAUGCCGCGUGAGUGAAGAAGGCCUUCGGGUUGUAAAGCUCUUUUACCAGGGACGAUAAUGACGGUACCUGGAGAAUAAGCCCCGGCAAACUUCGUGCCAGCAGCCGCGGUAAUACGAAGGGGGCUAGCGUUGUUCGGAAUUACUGGGCGUAAAGCGCACGUAGGCGGAUUGUUAAGUCAGAGGUGAAAUCCCGGAGCUCAACUUCGGAACUGCCUUUGAUACUGGCAAUCUAGAGUCCGGAAGAGGUUAGUGGAAUUCCCAGUGUAGAGGUGAAAUUCGUAGAUAUUGGGAAGAACACCAGUGGCGAAGGCGGCUAACUGGUCCGGUACUGACGCUGAGGUGCGAAAGCGUGGGGAGCAAACAG
rnacentral:rRNA from 1 species